rnacentral:rRNA from 2 species
CAAAUUGAUUUUAUGCUUGCAUAAAUGAUUUUUGGAUUCGGAGCGAGUGGCGAACUGGUGAGUAACACGUGGGUAACCUGCCCCGAAGCGGGGGAUAACAUUUGGAAACAAGUGCUAAUACCGCAUAAUUAGUUGGAACCGCAUGGUUCCAACUUGAAAGAUGGCUCUGCUAUCACUUUGGGAUGGACCCGCGCCGUAUUAGUUAGUUGGUGAGAUAAAAGCCCACCAAGACGAUGAUACGUAGCCGACCUGAGAGGGUAAUCGGCCACAUUGGGACUGAGACACGGCCCAGACUCCUACGGGAGGCAGCAGUAGGGAAUCUUCCACAAUGGACGAAAGUCUGAUGGAGCAACGCCGCGUGAGUGAUGAAGGUUUUCGGAUCGUAAAACUCUGUUGUUAAAGAAGAACAAGUGUUAGAGUAACUGUUAACACUUUGACGGUAUUUAACCAGAAAGCCACGGCUAACUACGUGCCAGCAGCCGCGGUAAUACGUAGGUGGCAAGCGUUGUCCGGAUUUAUUGGGCGUAAAGCGAGCGCAGGCGGUUUUGUAAGUCUGCUGUGAAAGCCCUCAGCUCAACUGAGGAAGUGCAGUGGAAACUACAAAACUUGAGUACAGAAGAGGAAAGUGGAACUCCAUGUGUAGCGGUGAAAUGCGUAGAUAUAUGGAAGAACACCAGUGGCGAAGGCGGCUUUCUGGUCUGUUACUGACGCUGAGGCUCGAAAGCAUGGGUAGCGAACAGGAUUAGAUACCCUGGUAGUCCAUGCCGUAAACGAUGAAUACUAGGUGUUGGAGGGUUUCCGCCCUUCAGUGCCGCAGCUAACGCAUUAAGUAUUCCGCCUGGGGAGUACGACCGCAAGGUUGAAACUCAAAGGAAUUGACGGGGGCCCGCACAAGUGGUGGAGCAUGUGGUUUAAUUCGAUGCUACGCGAAGAACCUUACCAGCUCUUGACAUCUUCUGCCAACCCAAGAGAUUGGGCGUUCCCUUCGGGGACAGAAUGACAGGUGGUGCAUGGUUGUCGUCAGCUCGUGUCGUGAGAUGUUGGGUUAAGUCCCGCAACGAGCGCAACCCUUAUUAUUAGUUGCCAGCAUUUAGUUGGGCACUCUAGUGAGACUGCCGGUGAUAAACCGGAGGAAGGUGGGGACGACGUCAAAUCAUCAUGCCCCUUAUGAGCUGGGCUACACACGUGCUACAAUGGAUGGUACAACGAGUCGCGAAACCGCGAGGUCAAGCUAUUCUCUUAAAGCCAUUCUCAGUUCGGAUUGCAGGCUGCAACUCGCCUGCAUGAAG